rnacentral:snRNA from 1 species
GUGCUCGCUUUGGCAGCACAUACACUAAAAUUGGAACAAUACAGAGAAGAUUAGCAUGGUCCCUGCGUAAAAUAAGUUUUUUGUGUGUGUGUGGUUUUUUUUUGUUUUGUUUU